GGGCCGGUAGCUCAGUUGGUUAGAGCACACGCUUGAUAAGCGUGGGGUCAGAAGUUCAAAUCUUCUUCGGCCCACCA
rnacentral:tRNA from 1 species